rnacentral:rRNA from 1 species
UAGGGAAUCUUCGGCAAUGGACGAAAGUCUGACCGAGCAACGCCGCGUGAGUGAAGAAGGUUUUCGGAUCGUAAAACUCUGUUGUUAGAGAAGAACAAGGACGUUAGUAACUGAACGUCCCCUGACGGUAUCUAACCAGAAAGCCACGGCUAACUACGUGCCAGCAGCCGCGGUAAUACGUAGGUGGCAAGCGUUGUCCGGAUUUAUUGGGCGUAAAGCGAACGCAGGCGGUUUCUUAAGUCUGAUGUGAAAGCCCCCGGCUCAACCGGGGAGGGUCAUUGGAAACUGGGAGACUUGAGUGCAGAAGGGGUGAGUGGAAUUCCAUGUGUAGCGGUGAAAUGCGUAGAUAUAUGGGGGAAAACCAGUGGCGAAGGCGGCUCUCUGGUCUGUAACUGACGCUGGGGCUCGAAAGCGUGGGGAGCAAACAGG